rnacentral:rRNA from 1 species
UACGUAGGGGGCGAGCGUUGUCCGGAAUCAUUGGGCGUAAAGCGCGUGUAGGCGGCUCGGUAAGUCCGGUGUGAAACCUUGGGGCUCAACCCCAAGCCUGCACUGGAUACUGUCGAGCUCGAGUCCGGGAGGGGAGAGCGGAAUUCCUAGUGUAGCGGUGAAAUGCGCAGAUAUUAGGAAGAACACCGGUGGCGAAGGCGGCUCUCUGGAACGGUACUGACGCUGAGACGCGAAAAGCG